GCAGAUCACUGUAGUACAAUAUAAACUGCAUUUUCUUGCCAUUGCAUUUGAGAAAUCUGCCAGUUCCACAUCAUUUACACAUGUAUGAGAAAAAAUGCAAAUAUGGAUCAGCUGAAACCAAGAACAUAAUCCAAAAUUAUAUCCUGGUCUUUGUCAUUUAAACGUCGUCAGUCACACUGGCAGAUCUGGAUUGAAGAAACUGAGCAGACAACAGAAAUGUGCACCACUGAUUUGUGAUCUGCAAUGCCCAGCCUAAAGUGAUUGCUUUCUGCUGGGAUCAAGAGAGCAGAAUUGCUGGUUUCUUCUGGCUCAAAAUACUAAAAAUGUUUAAAAAGAACUGUUGCAGAAAACUCCCCAAAGCCCAAAUCCUUGCUUUCAUACCAUUUAUAUACUCAGCAGUCCACUGCUUGGUCGCUCAUGAAGUGAACAUAUCUCCAGAGAAGAGGCUGAAACACCUCUCUUGGAUGCUGCUUGCUUUGUUCCAUCAGGAUUAUUAUCACGUACAGACUUUGUAGCUUUCUGUUCCUUCAGGGGCUUGUUGUUUAGUAUCUGACUCACAGAGUGGCUGGUACUGCUGCUGCACUUAAAGUAAAACGGAAUGCUUCCUAAUUUUCAUUCUCUUUUGGUCACCAGGACUUUUACACAGUCUCUUAGCAUGUCCCCAUCAGGUGUUUUUCCCCACAAAACCUCUGUUUAUGUGGAUGUGAAAUGGUAUUAAAUAACUGUUCUUAGAUCAUACAUUUUUUCCUAUGAUACGUUGGUCAGAUUAUGUUGAAUGCACUGAUAAGAAAAAUACAUGAAAUGGUGUAUCUCUGUAGUUACACAGAAAGAAAGAGAUGCCCAUGCAUUUACUGGAGUUUGCCUAGUUAUACACCUGCAAGAACACACAGUUAAAGUUGUU
rnacentral:lncRNA from 1 species